rnacentral:rRNA from 1 species
AACGAACGCUGGCGGCAUGCCUAACACAUGCAAGUCGAACGAGACCUUCGGGUCUAGUGGCGCACGGGUGCGUAACGCGUGGGAACCUGCCCUUAGGUUCGGAAUAACUCCCCGAAAGGGGUGCUAAUACCGGAUAAUGUCUUCGGACCAAAGAUUUAUCGCCUUUGGAUGGGCCCGCGUUGGAUUAGCUAGUUGGUAGGGUAAAAGCCUACCAAGGCGACGGUCCAUAGCUGGUCUGAGAGGAUGAUCAGCCACACUGGGACUGAGACACGGCCCAGACUCCUACGGGAGGCAGCAGUGGGGAAUAUUGGACAAUGGGCGAAAGACUGAUCCAGCAAUGCCGCGUGAGUGAUGAAGGCCUUAGGAUUGUAAAGCUCUUUUACCCGGGAUGAUAAUGACAGUACCGGGAGAAUAAGCUCCGGCUAACUCCGUG